CAACUUCUAGUAGCUUCCGCUGCCACCACAGUCAGCACAGCAGUGAGAAAUCCUAUGGAGAGGUCUUGAGCGCGGUCUCCCAGGGAACUUCUGCAGAAUGGUGGGAAGGCACACUCCCUCCUCCCCACUGCCGGCAGGGAAUCGGCUGGGGCAUUUCCAGGCUGGCAUGGCCUCCAGCCACCUCACACUCAAGGAAGCCCAGAUGGGAGCCGUGAAUCCCUCCAGUCUUCAGAGUCAAGAUGAAGUCACUUGCUGAUUAUAAUCAUGGGAACUAACAUGUUUUAUAAGCUCGUGCUUGUAUCAUGACUGACUCUGGAGCCUGAGCCAUCGGGGCUCUGAGCACACUGGACAGCAGGUUUGGAGCCUCUAGAACAGAGUUUGCUUCCCAGCUCUGGUGCUCGCUGGCCAGGAGGCCGGAGACAAUUCCCUGGCAUCUCUGAGCUAUACUUCCCUCUUCCAUUCAAUAGGGGUAGAAGCAACCACCACGCAGUGUGGCCUGAAGAGCCCAGCCUGUGCCAGGCCCUUUGUGGACGGUCGAUGAUUUGUGGCUGGUGUAAUUAUCACCAUUAUUUUAUUCUGGAGACCUAACUGAUGUCCUCUCUGGAAUUACCUUUGUUUUCAGGCUCCUUGCAAGACAGACACCCCGAGGGGCUUCUUCUGGGCUUUACCCUCAGCCCCGGGUUUUUUGCAAGAGCCCCCACCAUGUCCUGAGCUUCCACCAUGCGCUUCAACCCAGCCUCUCCCCCAGCCUGGGACCAGCAGCCACAUUCCCUACGCGGUUUUCCCUGCCUGUGACAGUUGCGUGGUCUCUGAGCCAUAAGGAGACUCAGAGACUUGGGGAGACCAGGAUGGGAUCUGUGUCAUUUUUCAGACUCUCCACCAAGAGAGCCAGACGGAAUACAGUGACGGCAGGAGAAACCCCAUGGAAGGUGUGACCCACCGCUCUGACCCCAAAGAAGCCUCCAGAGGAAAUCAAAACCUGAGCAUCCCAACAUCCACAUGUCCACGAGUCACCAGGGAGAUGCUGAUUAGCGGGUCUGGGGCGCCCAGGGUCCUACAUUCCUGACUACUUUGCGCUGUACUACAGACCACACUUAGGAGUCCGCCAGGGCCCGGUGUUCAGGCAGGUGGGGUAAGACCCUGAACUUGGCAUCAAAAUCUAGGUCAGGUCAGCUGAGUGACUCUGGACAAGUUUCCAACUCCCUGAAGCUUCUUUUCUCAUCAGUAAAAUCACCUCUAAUACGAAUAACCCUCCUGAUGGCCUCACAGACAGCUGAGAGUGGGGUCACACAGACCUGGGCACCAAGCCCAGCCUCUCACUGGCUGUGGGGCUCUGACCACCUCUCCCAGCCUAGCUGUCAUCUGGAAAACAGGCAUCAGUCACAUCCUAAAAUGUGUCUCCAUGGUAAUGGGACAAGCAUUGCUUCCAGGGCAAAAGAGAAGUCCUCUGUAUUUAGGGAGAAGAGGGUUGUAAAGGAUGUGUUCAUUUUUAUCUGGAAAGAGGGUUUGCCCUUUGGAGACAGGAAGGGAGCCAUUUGGGAUGGAGGAAGCAGCCAGACCCAAGGUGAGGUGGUGAGCCGCGGGAGUCCCAUCCCAUCUGUCACUGAGGGCAGGAAUGGGGGCGUCCUACCUCAACUAGUGCUUGUUCUCCAGACCUUCACCACAAGCAAAGCACUGCACUUGGCCUUCUGCACAAGUUCUUCACGAUCUCCACCUGGGACCCUGGGCACCGGAGUAGAAGCGGUCUGUUCUGCGGAUGAGGAUGCGGAGGUUCAGAGAGCUGGUUGCAUGAGACCACACAGCUAGAAAGCACCAGAGAUUAAGGUGCCUAACUACAGAACUGCCCCUGCUUCCUUGAACCACCCCCCAAAACACCCAGCACACGCCGAAGGAAUCCUCCUCCUGAAACAACCCACAUUUCCCCAGGGUGUGUGUGCGUUCUUGCUGGGAAAAGACCACCUGACAUUCAACUACGGGGCGCACUUCACAGCCUUCAGUGGGUUGGGGAGGGGCAUUGUGAACCAUAAACCCAGAAGUCUCCCCCUAAACAAACUCUUUGCCUCCACUGAAUGCAACACCACAGGGAGGGGAGCCAGACCUGGUGCCUGGCACAGCGGGAAGCAGUCCAAAGGGGAACCGAGAGAAGAAACAGCCAAAGGGAUGUGGCUUUUAGGAUACCUGCCUGCUGACAGAUUGUGGGGAGCCGUGGAGAAGAUUGUGGCAGAGGCUGGGGGAUGGGAGGUGUCACACUAUCUCUCACUGGUUUUAAUCUUAACUUUAAUGUGAAAUGUAAUUACAGAUUCUGAAUUAUGGUGGCAAGCUCAUGAGGGCUGACUCAUCAAUUAGCCAGAUUUAUACGCUCGGGGUUCUCAGAGAUCUAUGACCCUGAUGUGUCACCUCAAAGCUCUGAGACAUCUGUUCUGCCAGUUCACUCUCUUGGGGAACCAUGGGGUCGAGAGAGCCACUUUUAGGGCCGGCUUGGAGGGACAGGCAGCCUGAAGACCGUACGUGCCUCUGCAGUCCCCUGUGAGGGCCUUGGCCUGGGAAUCCAGAAAUGUCAAAUACACAUCUUUAGUCCCACUACCUCCAUCGGAAACCAUGCGAGACCUCAUGAAUGGAUUACCAACACCUGCUGAGUCGGGACCCAGCCUCGGGCUCCUUAACGCAGCCUUCCAGGCAGCCCCUACCAGUCACCUGCCUUCGGCACUUCUUUCGCACCCCUGGGAUCAGCCCUUGCAUGGUCUCAGCAGAAAUAUAAACAAAGGAAGCUGGGUUUUGAUGCAGAAGGCCCGGGUUGAGUGCUUGUUUUGCCACUUGCUGACUGACACAUUGGACUCAUCGUGGUACCCACUGGUGUGCCAGUUUGUCCAGGUGAAGGCAGGGUGAAAAUCCACAGCGAAAAUCCAUAUAAAGUAAUCAGUGGGGAAGUCCUUUGUCUACUCUCAAACACCACACAAGUUAAAGAUGGCAGCAACCAACAGAGGAGAAAGAAGGAUGCCGACAUCCCCAGCAUCCUGUGAAAAGUGAGCGUGAUCCCCCUCCACAGCCAAUCCUCAGUGGGGCUGUGAUCAGCUUUCUGCCCUUCUCUGUUGCCCUGGAACGGAAGCCAAGCAUCCACAUUCAAACCGCACAGGAGCUGCACCCCGGGCAGCCAGCUGGCUCCGACAGAACAGCCAGGGGCGUGUUCUCCAGGCUUCUACACUGAAGGGGCCCCAUGGCUUUGGCUUCCAGAGGACCACCUCCCCUGACUCCAAUCAUCCCAAGAGAGGGAGAGGAUUUAUGAGAGGCGUGGCAAGCAACUGUCAGUUUGUUCUCUCUUUUGCCCUCAUGUUUAUUACACAAGUAAGCCUCUGUCAAAUCCAACCCAAAUACAUUGUUUAAAAAAAAAAAAAAAAGUGGGGAAAUCCAGACAAACAAAAGUGAAAGAUAACACCACCGGUAAUCCCAUGAUUUAGAGGUAUUAUUAACACACCAAACAGAUCCUUGCAUUACUUUUUUUCCUGUGGUGUAUAUCCACACACCUAUUUCUUUUUCAGAAAUUAGGUCAUUCGAUACUAUACCAUUGUAUAAUCUGGGUUUGGUUGUUUUUGUUUUUUUCACUUAAGAGAUGGUGAAUGCUUUUCCAUAGUAAUAAAUAUAUAGACACUAUA